rnacentral:rRNA from 1 species
GACGAACCGAGCGAACGUUGUUCGGAAUUACUGGGCGUAAAGCGCGCGUAGGCGGCUUUGUAAGUUAGAGGUGAAAGCCCGGAGCUCAACUCCGGAACUGCCUUUAAGGCUGCAUCGCUAGAAUCAUGGAGAGGUGAGUGGAAUUCCGAGUGUAGAGGUGAAAUUCGUAGAUAUUCGGAAGAACACCAGUGGCGAAGGCGACUCACUGGACAUGUAUUGACGCUGAGGUGCGAAAGCGUGGGGAGCAAACAGG